rnacentral:misc_RNA from 1 species
UAAACUGUUCGGCGACCUCGUCGACAUUGCGAAAUUCAAACCCGGGAAAUCGACUCCUGGUAGAGCUGGUAGCAUGUGAAAUGAUCGCCAUGCCUUUUUCCUUUGUUUAUUUUAUGCCUCCCCUUGUUUCACAUUGCAUACAUAUAGUGUUUUGCCUUUGGCCCCCUCAUUCUUGUUGUCUGUUUGAGUAUUGAAAUAGUGUAUAUUUCUUGUAGAGGG